rnacentral:rRNA from 1 species
AGUGAAGAGGGAAGAGCUCAAAUUUGAAAUCUGGCAGUGUUUUGCUGUCCGAGUUGUAAUCUAGAGAAGUGCUGCCCGUGCUGGACCAUGUACAAGUCUCCUGGAAUGGAGCGUCACAGAGGGUGAGAAUCCCGUCUUUGACAUGGACUGCCAGUGCAUUUGUGGUGUGCUCUCAAAGAGUCGAGUUGUUUGGGAAUGCAGCUCUAAAUGGGUGGUAAACUCCAUCUAAAGCUAAAUAUUGGCGAGAGACCGAUAGCGAACAAGUACCGUGAGGGAAAGAUGAAAAGAACUUUGGAAAGAGAGUUAAACAGUAUGUGAAAUUGUUGAAAGGGAAACGCUUAAAGUCAGUCGUGUCGGCCAGGGAUCAACUCAGUAUUAUCUGCUGGGUGUACUUCCUGAUCUGAUGGGCCAACAUCAGUUUUGACUGCUGGAGAAGGAUAGAGGGAAUGUGGCACCUUUGGGUGUGUUAUAGCUCUCUGUCGGAUGCAGUGGUUGGGACUGAGGAAUGCAGCAUGCCGCAAGGCCGGGUCGUUUCGACCACGUUCAUGCUGAGGAUGUUGGCAUAAUGGCUUUAAUCGACCCGUCUUGAAACACGGACCAAGGAGUCUAACAUGCCUGCGAGUGUUUGGGUGGCAAACCCRAGUGCGGAAUGAAAGUGAAAGGUUGAGAUCCCUGUCAUGGGGAGCAUCGACGCCCGGACCUGAGCUCAAUGCAAAGGAUCUGCGGUAGAGCAUGUAUGUUAGGACCCGAAAGAUGGUGAACUAUGCCUGAAUAGGGUGAAGCCAGAGGAAACUCUGGUGGAGGCUCGUAGCGAUUCUGACGUGCAAAUCGAUCGUCGAAUUUGGGU